CAGAUAGGGAUGAAGAGAAUAUGCAUAAUCCAACACUUGAUCUGACAUUUCAAUGUGAAGGAUAAUUUCUGGUUCUGAGUCUGU
rnacentral:snoRNA from 1 species